CACACACACACACACACACACACGAAAAAAAGAGAAAUUUGUGUGUGCAUUAAGAUAUCGAAUGCUAUAAAAAUUCCAUUUUAAUGGUGCUUCCUUUCAACCUUUCACCCGCACGUGACCGCGCGUUCGUUUCAUUAAUUAAAGUUUUUCUUUUUUUUCCCCCCUUCCUUCUUUCUGUCUUGCUUUACUUGUUAGCUAGUCGGCUCCGAUAACUUGGACUCUAGAAAACAGCUGACGUUAUUCGGUCUAACUGCGAAAAAAACAUCGCGCACGUGAAAUCAUUAUUAUAUUAAAUACAAGAUGCGCGGCCGACUGUCGUCUCUACCUCGAUCUUCCUAACUUAAUGCCUAGGAUUAAUUAAAAUAGAGACACCUGUAGAUUUAGAGGAGCAUUUACGUUUUUGUUUUUCUUAACGGAACUUUUGAUGAAAACACACGAGUCACAGCUGCGACUAAUAACCUGGAACGGCUAUGUAUCAAUGCGCGUCCUUUUCCAGUGGAUCAUCAGUCGCUUCCAUUGCCAUGGUAACGUUCGUUUUGUUCUUCUUAUUCGUUCUGCUUCUCCAUCCUAUGUGAGCUGCGUGUAUAGAAUGGUUACAGCCGUUGUCGGUUUAAAAUUCAUUUCUGCGAUGCGAUGCUUUCUUUCCUCUUUUUUUUUUUUUUUUUCUUCUUCUUCUUCUUUCUCCUCAUUUUGGAAACAAAAGCUGCUGAU
rnacentral:lncRNA from 1 species